rnacentral:rRNA from 1 species
UACGGGGGGGGCAAGCGGUUGUUCGGAAUUACUGGGCGUAAAGGGCUCGUAGGUGGCCAACUAAGUCAGACGUGAAAUCCCUCGGACUUAACCGGGGAACUGCGUCUGAUACUGGAUGGCUGGAGUAUGGGAGAGGAAUGCGGAAUUCCAGGUGUAGCGGUGGAAAUGACGUAGAUAUCUGGAGGAACACCGGUGGCGAAGGCGGCAUUCUGGACCAUUACUGACGCUGAGGAGCGAAAGCCAGGGGAGCAAACGGG